CACAGUUGCUCUUCGAACUUCUGGGUAGGAAGAAAACAGAGCAAUAAAGAAUGGUUUUAGAAAUAAUUAAAACUUGAAAAAAAUCAUAGCAACUGUUUGGGAAACAACUCAUACUGAGAAGGCAAGGACAUUUCAGCUAAUCUUGGCUACAUCUGAUCCAGAGAACCACAGAAUUCUUCAGCAUGCUCUGAACUGAACACCUGGACUGCUUCUAGGUUUGAAAUAAAUGGAUCUGGGAUAGACAUUCUUCCUUUCACAGAAAUAAGGACCUGGCAGCAUUUGGCUGAGAUGCUCACCUUGAACUCAUAGAGUCACCAGGAACCAUGGCAAACUGCCAGGUCAAAGAGAUCUUUAUCAACUUGACACCUGCUAGAGCUUGCUGUGAUUCUCUGCUGAUGUUCUUGCUUGUUGUCUGACAAAAAC
rnacentral:lncRNA from 1 species